rnacentral:misc_RNA from 1 species
AGUGCCCCAGGGCGCAACAGAGAUCGUUAGAAGUGAUGUGGAGGCCCCAUAAGUCAUUACGUGCCAGUGGUUUGACAGAUCGGCCGUCAACUUCCGUAUAGACUGGACGUGUAUACCUGUACGCAUGCCACGUGUCCUGGGACGGCAGAUAUAGGACCGGUCCGUUACGAUUUUGGAAGAGUCCUGGGAAAACAACAGAUCGAACGGAAAGUCCCAGAGAUAAGACAGCCUAGAACAGACGAUACGACUUUGGGAAGUAAAGCUAUCGGAAUUAUAUCUUCUGUAGUGUAACGGUAAUAACUUUCAAAAAAAAAUAUGGCUAAAUCAAUAUUGUGUAAGAAAAUGAUUCUUUGUGUGGUAGGGACUAUGGCUUUAGUUGCCAUGGUUACUGCUAGUGACAUGAACGUUAAGGGUGACGUACCGGAUGUGCACGUGCUUGUGACGAGAGAUUCAGAUAAAUGCACGAGAAAAGCAGCCAAGCACGACAUUCUAGUACUCCAUUAUGAAGGAUUCUUCCCUAACGGUACCAAGUUCGAUUCCAGUAUCGAGCGACCUGGGGCCAAUCCUUUCCAGUUCCAACUCGGAAUAGGUCAGGUUAUUCAGGGCUGGGAAAGAGGACUACUGGACAUGUGUAUGGGAGAAAAGCGUAAGCUUACAGUCCCCGCCUCACUAGCGUACGGAGAGCAGGGUUCAGGUGAGCUGAUUCCGCCAAACACCGAUCUGAUAUUUGACAUUGACCUCAUCCAAGUGCAUGAUGGACCUCAACCACCAAAUGUCUUCAAGAUGAUCGACAUUGACAGCGACAACCUACUGACGAGAGAUGAGCUGGCCAUGUACCUUGCUCGUCAGUCUCAGAUGCAGGGAGUGCCGAUGGACCUGGCCAAUGUUCAAAACCUUAAAGUCCUCAACAACAUCUUCACAGUGGAAGAUAAAGACAAGGAUGGCCGAAUUUCCCACGAAGAAUUUACCGGUCCAAAGCAUGAAGAACUCUGAUAGUCUGUGCUUUACCGAAAGUUAAGACAUUCAACUUGAGCAGAAUGCUAGAGUAAAAUGUUUUAUAACAUUAUCAAGUGCAGACGCUUUUAGAAUGGAGUUGAGAGUAAAGAGUUGUGUGCAGUAAUAGACAAGUUAUGUGAGGAAUGUCUGAGGAAUGUAUGAAGGAUGUGUAUGGAAUUGGUCCGAGAUGUAAGGUCAUUCCAUGUUAAUGUAAGAAGGGAGAAAGAUUUUUUACGUCGGUGUAAGAUCUCCUAGUUGCUUGAUUUGUGUGGGUUUAUGCAGAGAAAAAUCACAUAACUGUUCAACAUCAGUACAACCUGGCGUCAACCGGGCUCCAUGGCUUCACCAGUGUCUACGUUACGAGAGGAUCGAUGGCUUCAAGGUGGCGGCCACGAUUGUAGGAAACAGAAAAAUAAAAGACAAGGAGUUGAUAGUGAUAUUCAUCUAUUUAUUGCAUAAUACAUGACGAUGUCAACACAGGAGAUGAGAAUGUAACGAGAUGUACAUAAGACGAAAGGUGAGAGGUCAUCCUGUGAGAUGUAUGAGACGAAAGGUGAGAGGUCAUCCUGUGAGAUGUAUGAGACGAAAGGUCAUAGGUGCAGAAUGAGCAUAAGUGUGUGAUUGUAAUCAUGCUUAACAGAGACACAUAAUACAAAGCAUUAAAAUAUAAACUAAAACACCCUUGAUUGUUGUUUUUUGCCGCUAAUAUAUAGUGUACAACACUCGGUAUGGUUUACCUGGCCACUAUAGCGUACAACACUGUGGGGCUCAAGUUUCGUGGUUUCCUGGAAAAACACCAUUUUGUUGGUACAUGAAUUCAUGGAUUACAAGUACCAACUCAUACAGAGAAUAGCUUUAUGUUAAUCUUGUAAUUACUUUGUGGACCUUUGAAUUUUUUGAUAACGAGUACCCACUCAUACGGAUAAAAGCUUUAUAUCUAACUUGUAAUUACUUUGUGGACCUAUGAAU